rnacentral:lncRNA from 15 species
AUUCACUCAGCCACUUGAAGCAUUACUGACAUUAUCCAUGAAUGAACCCAUUUUCAUUCUGAACCAUUUUACUGUACAUUUAUCAGUUUACCAACAUGAAAGCUUGUUGUGGCAUUUUCAUCCCUCCCUCCCCUUACAGCUGAGCCAGAAUUAGUUGAUGAGUGCAGAGUGCCAUCGACAGGUCAAACUGUGUAUAGCAAGUGAGCUAGACAUUGGGUAAUUCAGUGGUUUUAUUUUAACUGUGACCAGGGAACUCUCAUAUGUCGUCGUCAUAUGAGAACAGUUCCUUCAGUCUAAAGGCCUUUGUACACUGGUGGUGUUUCAAACUGCAAAAUAUUUUUUAGAUCUAUAGAGAUUUUUCUGAGCUGUCGCACUACAAAUAAGGGCUUCAACUAAUCACACACACACUAAUCCCAUUGUUUUUCCUCCCUUAUUUCUCUUUUCACACCUACAUGCAUAGACACGGUCUUCAGUGCCCCACCCGUUUACAUAACUUGCCAUUUUCCCUUUUAUACUUACGCAGUCUUGGGCUCUGCCAUUUUGGUUCAGCUCUUUAGGUUCAGGACUUUCCAUGAUACAGCUCAUUCAUCUACUCCAUGCCACUUCCUCUUUACACCAGCCAAAGCAUGAUGAAACUAUGGAUACUUUUAAGGAUAAACUGUUAAGUAUUUCUCUUUCCUAGUUCCUUUGGCCUGGUCUCCUCAGUAGCUGCUGGGAUCCUGCUGCUGCUCCUGCUGGUCUUGGUGGUGGUCUGUUUGGUCCUCAGGAGAAGGCGACGAUCAAAGCAGCCUGGAGGCGCCGUCCGAACUCAAUUGGCGGUCAGGAACAAUUAUGAAGAGGACAAUGAGGAGAGUGAGGAGGAGGAGGGGGACUAUGUUAAUGUUGAGCCAGUGGACACCAACCAGAUACAGACUGGACAAGCAGAAGGAGACGAAGACGAAGAUGGUGAUGAUCAUGAUUAUGAGGAAGCACAGAUUGAAGAUGAUUAUUUAGUGGCUGUAGAGGUUUCUGUUAAUAUGGAACACAACGGAGAGGAACAAGUAGAUGAAGAAGAAACCAGUGAUGAUGACAAUGACUAUGGGAAUGUAACCCAGCCAUUUACUGAACAAGAAGUGGACAUUUAUGGAGGGAAUGAGGAUAUUUAUCAAAACCUUUAGGUUUCCACUUGUCACAGUGUCACACUGAUUAUCGUGGAUAAAACUAUUACUCAACUAUUGACCCACUGCCAACAUUUUAAAUUAACAAUAUUAUCAAUUAGUGUGUGGGAACUCAAACCUAGACUUUCAUUUUCUGUCUGAAACCACAAACAUCUUUGUUUUUCCCAGGUUACAGAAUAUGUAGAAAAUGAAUAAAUGAAGGAAAAGGAGGAGGGUUACUUAUUUCUGUAAAAGACUACAUAAAGUGUCAACAUAGAGAUAUAAAUGAUUGGAGUCAAAAAUAGAAUGUUUAGCACUGUAACUGUAUCACCUCAAAUAUAAUGUAUUGACAUUUAUCAACCUCUGUCUGCGGAUGUUACUUUUCAUACCUAUUAAUAUAAUUUUAAAGGAAUUAAAGGGUUAUAGGAAGGCAGUGAUAGCUUUAGGGGAUUUUAAUGUGAAUUGGGGAGAUAAGAAAAACAGAAGAAAAACAAAUUAAUGGCCUAUGUGGUUUUCUCAGAUGAUAAAUUGACCAAACCAAAUUGAUCUUGUAUUUUUCAAUCAACGAGAGAGGAUCAUUAAUUCUUCUAAUUAUAUUACAGGGAUUUUACAUCCUAAUUAAGAAAAGGUUCACUUUUAGACAAGACAGACACAAGAGUUAUUGAAGAAAGAAUACCAAAGAAAGGUUUAGCCAAAUUGGAUACUGGACUGAAGGAUUCAGCUUGGGAUAGUUCAGCUAGCAUCGAAGAAAUUGAUGUGUUUUGUAGGACUUGUAUUGUGUUAAUAUUGCUAUGGACAAAUUAAUCAAGAAAUAAUGACACAAAAAGGCAAUCCUAUUUGGAAGACAGAACAUAUCUCGACCUUGAUGAAGAAAAGAGACUUAAAAGAGACUCUGCUUAAAAAGGCAUUGAAAUCUGACCUUAAUACCAAUGUUAGUCUAUUCAAAGACCACUGCAACAGUGUAGUAAAUUAACUUAGGAAGGCUAAAGCCAACUUUUUUAUCUAACUGUGGAAGCACAUUAAAAACCUCUCUUGAAAGGAAAAUAAAUGUCAGAAGUGUUAUAAAAUUAAGAUUAAUAAUAUACUGACACAGUGUAAAUAUUAAAUUGUAGUCUUUUAAAGGUUCAAUAUAUUCAAUAUUCAAAUCUAUGUAGACAAUACAGUCAUCUCAUUUAUGUUCAUGCUAUAUUAAAACAGUAAGCUUCAUCGUUACUAACACAGGCUAUGGACAACAUAGCAGAAUGAAUGACUUAUUCAUGCUUGACAUUGAAUUUCUUCAAAACAGUUGGUAUGAUUUUUGUCCAUUAGACGAGGCAAUUCCCCUCCUCCUGAAAUCAUUGUAAACGGACAGGGUACAGGGUUACAGGAUAGUCAGCAUGUCAAAUAUUUGGGUGUGAUUGUUGAUAGCAGUCUAACUUUCAAUACACAGUAACAUCUCAAAAACAAGGUAUAACCUUGCUUAUUUCAGAUUUAUAAGCACCGUACCCAACACAAUUAGACAUUUUGGUCAUAAAAAUUUAAUCUUUCUUUCUUUUUAUAAUUUGUAGAAGUGUACGUUAUGAUUUGUCAUGUGGCUGAUCUUGGCUGAUGUUGCUUUUGUGUCUUGUAAGCCCAUAUGGGUUGAUCACCAUAGAAUGGUGUAGGACACUAAAAAAUAAAUAAAACCAAUCCAUUAAUCAAUAUAAGAAAUAAAAUGAGUACAGAUGCAGCAAACUGUACACCCAUGCAAAUGUUAUGGUACAUUUUGCAUAAUGUAGUGCAACCUAAUCUUAGACAAAUAGUACAUUAUUAUUAAGCACUUCAGAGUCUGAAUAAGCAAGCUUUGAAAAUCAUGGAUAAAAAAACAGCACCAUCAGUUUGUAACACCAUGUAGACCUGGCUCAUUAAAAAGAUGAAAGUUAAAAAGAGCUUCCUGUAGAGGGGGCUGUUACGUUAAAUUUUGUUAAAAACAACUCUGCUUCUAAGUUAGACAGCCGGGAUAGAAUUCUUAAGUAGCACUGUGUCUAGUACUUUUCAAAAAAUUCAAUGUAGUGUGAAGGAUAGAUGAAGGACAAUCAGGUCUGUAGUGACUGAGUGAGACGCUGUGGCCAGCAUUCGUACUGCAUCUUUGGUUGGUAAAUUCUUGUUCUGAUUAUUCAUAUCUCUGUGUUCUCUGUGUUGGGAUUGCUGAUAAUGUGCUCCCUAGUGGGAAUUUAGUGUUGUUUUUCUGUUGUUAAUUUCAGGAUGACUUAUUCUUGGUGUAAUAUAUUUUAUCUAUCUAUUUUGCUUUGUCUCUCUGUUCUAUUUCCAGCCUGACCAUAUAUAUAUGUAUAUAUAUGGGCUUUUUGCCUUUAUUACAUAAGAUAGCUGAAGAUUGACAGGAAAGGGAGAGAGACAGUGUGGAUGGCACACAGUCACGGUUUGCUGCAGCAAGGACUCAGCCUUGGUACAUGGGGUGUCAGCUCUUCCAGGUAAGCUACCAAGGCGCCUCGGUUUCUUUGUUUUGUGAUGGUACCGGGAGCUUUCAGGGCUUCUGGUUUAGUUUCUUUAAGGUUAAGGUUUAUGCUAGAGAGAAGAGACAGUGAUUCUCCGGCCUUAUCCGGGCUAGUUUUGGCAGCUUCUCUUCUUUUCAUUCAUUUUAGCCAGUCCAUCAACCCUUUGUUAUUUUGGUUGCUUUAAGUAGUUUUUGACAUUUUGUUUAGUUUUUUUUUGGUC